CCACUGCUGAACCCUGAUGGUGCGAGGUGAUAUCAGCAGGCAGCAAAACACUGCACUGGCAGUGAGCAGGAGUAG
rnacentral:miRNA from 12 species